rnacentral:rRNA from 1 species
AGAACGAACGCUGGCGGCGUGCCUAACACAUGCAAGUCCAACGUGAAAGGGGAGCAAUCCCCCGGUAGGGUGGCAAACGGGUGAGUAAGACAUGGGUGAUCUACCCUGGAGAUGGGGAUAUCCCUCCGAAAGGGGGGCAAUACCGAAUAGGAUCCGGUCCCGUGAAGGGGACCGGGGAAACGGAGGCCUCUGGAACAAGCUUCCGCUCCUGGAUGAGCCCAUGGCCCAUCAGCUAGUUGGUAGGGUAAAGGCCUACCAAGGCGACGACGGGUAGCUGGUCUGAGAGGACAACCAGCCACACUGGCACUGAGACACGGGCCAGACUCCUACGGGCGGCAGC